AUUGAACGCUGGCGGCAUGCCCUACACAUGCAAGUCGAACGGCAGCACGGGUGCUUGCACCUGGUGGCGAGUGGCGAACGGGUGAGUAAUACAUCGGAACGUACCUUAUCGUGGGGGAUAACGCAGCGAAAGCUGUGCUAAUACCGCAUAAGCCCUGAGGGGGAAAGCGGGGGAUCGAAAGACCUCGCGCGAUUAGAGCGGCCGAUGCCUGAUUAGCUUGUUGGUGGGGUAAAAGCCCACCAAGGCGACGAUCAGUAGCUGGUCUGAGAGGACGGUCGGCCACACUGGGACUGAGACACGGCCCAGACUCCUACGGGAGGAAGCAGUGGGGAAUUUUGGACAAUGGGGGCAACCCUGAUCCAGCAAUGCCGCGUGAGUGAAGAAGACCUUCGGGUUGUAAAGCUCUUUUGUCAGGGAAGAAACACCGGCUCUAACACAGUCCGGGAAUGACGGUACCUGAAGAAUAAGCACCGGCUAACUACGUGCCAGCCGCCGCGGUAA
rnacentral:rRNA from 1 species